rnacentral:rRNA from 1 species
CAGUCGCCACGGUAAUACGUAGGGUGCGAGCGUUAAUCGGAAUUACUGGGCGUAAAGCGGGCGCAGACGGUUACUUAGGCAGGAUGUGAAAUCCCCGGGCUCAACCUGGGAACUGCGUUCUGAACUGGGUGACUAGAGUGUGUCAGAGGGAGGUAGAAUUCCACGUGUAGCAGUGAAAUGCGUAGAGAUGUGGAGGAAUACCGAUGGCGAAGGCAGCCUCCUGGGAUAACACUGACGUUCAUGCCCGAAAGCGUGGGUAGCAAACAGGAUUAGAUACCCUGUAGUCCCUGUCUCUUAUACA